rnacentral:tRNA from 1 species
CGAGGUCGUGGCGCGGGCGCCGCAGUUCUCCGAGGGCUGCAUGGUGCUGGACCUCGACCUGCCGGCCGCGGC